AGAGUAUAGAGUAGAGAGAGACUAGAGACUUCUCUCAAAAAAAACCCCAGAGAAGAAGAACAGACAUUACGUUCUUCGAAAUUCUUCGCCAUCUGAAAAAUACGUUCUGCUAAAUCUUCAAAGGCUAACAAUGGCUGACUCUCAUUGUGAGCGACCCAUUAAUGUUGGAGAUGAUUCGGAUUCUGAUAUCAGUGACAGUCAUGGCAAGUCAGAGAAGAAGAAACAAAGCAAAUACCGAUUCUAUUUUAUUUUACUUUUUGCAAGAAAUAGUUAAAUCUUGAAUUUAUGUUUUGUAAUCUGAAGUUGGUGGCCAAUUUAUGGUUUUGAAUGUAGAAAGUUGAAACUUUAACUUUUACAUCUACAAGUGCUUUGCGAAUUAAGUUG